rnacentral:rRNA from 1 species
UGGGGAAUCUUAGACAAUGGGGGAAACCCUGAUCUAGCCAUGCCGCGUGAGUGACGAAGGCCCUAGGGUCGUAAAGCUCUUUCGCCAGGGAAGAUAAUGACGGUACCUGGUAAAGAAGUCCCGGCUAACUCCGUGCCAGCAGCCGCGGUAAUACAGAGGGGGCAAGCGUUGUCCGGACUUACUGGGCGUAAAGCGCACGCAGGUGGUAAGGCAAGUGGGGUGUGAAAGCCGCCAGCUUAACUGGCGGAGGCCAUCCCAAACUGCCUCACUUGAGGCCUGUAGAGGUAUGUGGAAUUGCCGGUGUAGUGGUGAAAUGCGUAGAGAUCGGCAGGAACACCCAGGGGGAAACCAGCAUACUGGACAGGACCUGACACUCAGGUGCGACAGCGUGGGGA